rnacentral:rRNA from 2 species
UCGAGCGGACAGAUGGGAGCUUGCUCCCUGAUGUUAGCGGCGGACGGGUGAGUAACACGUGGGUAACCUGCCUGUAAGACUGGGAUAACUCCGGGAAACCGGGGCUAAUACCGGAUGGUUGUUUGAACCGCAUGGUUCAGACAUAAAAGGUGGCUUCGGCUACCACUUACAGAUGGACCCGCGGCGCAUUAGCUAGUUGGUGAGGUAACGGCUCACCAAGGCGACGAUGCGUAGCCGACCUGAGAGGGUGAUCGGCCACACUGGGACUGAGACACGGCCCAGACUCCUACGGGAGGCAGCAGUAGGGAAUCUUCCGCAAUGGACGAAAGUCUGACGGAGCAACGCCGCGUGAGUGAUGAAGGUUUUCGGAUCGUAAAGCUCUGUUGUUAGGGAAGAACAAGUGCCGUUCAAAUAGGGCGGCACCUUGACGGUACCUAACCAGAAAGCCACGGCUAACUACGUGCCAGCAGCCGCGGUAAUACGUAGGUGGCAAGCGUUGUCCGGAAUUAUUGGGCGUAAAGGGCUCGCAGGCGGUUUCUUAAGUCUGAUGUGAAAGCCCCCGGCUCAACCGGG